AAGGAACACUGCAGUCACGACUAGAGAGAAGAGCCGAGGAGGAUUCCUAGUGGAGGACCUCAGAAAAUACCACUCUGGGAUUGAUGGGAAACUUCAGAGAAGACUGCUCAGAGCUAUAGAAUAACUCACCAACUAUCUAGAAGUGGGUGGAUAUAAAUGAGGUUAGCAGCAUCCAACAGCAGAGGGAGCUCUCUGAGAGGAAGAAGGAAAGAAAAGCUGACAGUCUGGGAAAGGUUUAGUGCUGGGGGCGGGGGACCAGGCCUGGCAGAUGAAGAGAGAGACCAGGGAAACGGGUUAGUGAGGAAUAACUUGUGGUCCUUUUGGUCUCGCCUACACAGUUUAUGCAAGGCCAAACAGCAAGAAAGUCAGGAGCUGCUGCAUAUAAAAAAUAAAUGAAGCCCUUUUUCUGAUGCUCUGCCUACCCCCAGACCUUGCAGGACCUUGCCUUGCAAGCCUAACAUGACAAGCCUCCAUUGAUUUAACUCUAUGCAGCCAGGCAGGACAAUAUCACACAGAUAGCAUAACUUGAGGGCCACUCUAACUCAUACUCCUGUAGGAAUGGUCAGCUGUGGACCACUGCAGGAAAGCAGAGAAGCUGGGGGUCAGGUUUGCCCUGGCCAGGCCCGAUUGCCUUGAGCCAUAACCAUCACCUCCUUCCUCCAUCACAUCUUGGAAUGCCUCACAUCCUGUGUAGAGGACACACAGCCAUCCAUGUGCCAGGCACAGGGGCUCCUAUCUGGGAAAAGGGGCCAUAGGGCACUAAGGAAUUGGGCCUAAAGGAGACUGUUCUGAAGAAGGCAAACAUCACACUCAAAACUGGGGAAAGGUUAAGUGUUUGUGUGACAGGAAAGUUUUAAAAUAGGGAGGCAUAGAGCUUAAAGAGUUAUAGUUACCUUUGAGACAUGUAACUAAAAGAGAUAAAAACCAUAUGUUCUGUAGAUGAGCCUUUUACACUCCAUUAUGUCAGAACUGGGCUCUAAUUGUAUCUAGAUCUCUCUGAUUCUAACUGUUUUCUUACUUACUGCUCCUGGAUUCAUUUUUUUUCUUGCUAGUAUGUCUGGAUUUAGCAAGACUCCUUUGAGUUGACACUAAACUUAUGUGGAUCCAGCUAGUUUUGGCAAGUUCUGAGUUGGUAAAAAUCUUUUUAUGCUUGAUUGUAGACAGCUGGCAUAAAAAUUCAGAAUUUUCCAAUCACUGACUCUUUUUAUUAUUUGUCUUCACCUCUCUUGAUGUUUACCAGCCUGGCCUGCUUUUAUCUCUGUUAAUCCUUCAGUGCAUGGAGCCCCAGAAGCAGAGACCGUACAUAAGCAUGGCCUCUAUGUCAGUUAAAACAAAACAAAUUACCCUACCAAGGUUACGCUUGUGAGACUUUUCAAAGCUGGCCAAAAAUAAUAUAAGUGAUGAUCUAAGAGAGAAAAAUAACCAAAAGCCAGACUGAACUUCCUAAAAAAAACAGUUUAAAAUAAAUUACAACUAAUUAUUCGAAACAGGAGCUGAGCUAAAAACAGAACUGAAAUAAAUUAAAAUAAAUUGAUGAAAACAGUGCUCAAAGAUGAAAGCUGAAUAGAGUUAACCUAAUUUUCCUUUGGUCUCUGAAGCUGAUGCUGCUGAAGAGGUCCUUCCUCUAUAACUUUAAAGAGCUUUAAAUGGAGAAGAGCAGGUUAAAAAUAAUCCAAUUUUAAAAAAGCAAAGGGCUAAGUCCUCAGGCCCAACUGGGUUAAAGCAGCCUUAAACCAGGCAGCUGAAGAUCCCGAACUGGAUAACACCCAUUUCAACUUCUCCCGUGAAGGGGUAUUGCUGGAGAGCAGUGUACAUGUCUGGGAACCCCCGUGAGUAUACCUUCUUCUAAAGGGCUGUCACAAAUGAAUGUAGAUUACUGCAAACCCUGGAGUCCAUGGAUGGAGAGAGGGCAAAGGUCGUAUUAACCUACCUUUUGAUCCCUCCCCCGCCUCUCCAGGGCCUGUAAUAAGCGCCACAUGGAUGAACCAAAGGAGAGUUGCCAAAAGAUCCUGUUUGCAAAUAAUCCUUUAGAGAAUUAAAACUGAAAGGAUUUUAAAAUUCAAGUGUACUUUCUGCUAUUUGUGGUGGGGUUUUUUUUGUGUUUCCAUUUUCCCAUAUUUUAAUAAAAAUACAUCUGGAAAAAAAAAUCCACAAAGCCGAAUAGAAAUGAGUCCCGGGGGAGAGGAAGAGUGGGCAGCAAGACAACCCCACACCCAGGCCCAAUGCAAGCAGACGAAGGGAUCCAGCCUGGGGGCCCAAUGACAAGGAGCUCCAAGGAGACGCUACUUCUUCUGUUUGGGAGCAGGUCUGUAAUUCCCCACCACCACAGCCUGGUCUCGCUUGUAGGGCUCCAGCUUCAGCUGCUCCUGGGGUUUCAUGUUCUCCUGCUGCAUCUUCUUCGCCUCUGAGGUGAAGACGGCCUCAGGCACCGCUGUGGAGUCGAUGCAGUUGGCCUUGAUGGAUAUGAUGAAGUGCCCUCCGUUCUUCAGGAAGUUCUGAGCAUUUAGGGCUACAAUGCACGACUGGUCAGACUGGGCCACGUCAGCAAAGAUUUAGUUUCCUAUUGCAUUUCACUUAUCUUGGACAAUGAAGCAAACUGUUUGGCUUUAUUUUGUUUAUAUGUGUUUUGCUGCUGUUUCUGGUACUCAAGCACUAGCACAAUACUAUAAUGUUUGGGUUGCAAACACUGCAGGAAACAUUAAACUCCAAACCAAAAUUAUGUUUUCACUGAAAUUAGUUGUUUUUAA